rnacentral:rRNA from 1 species
AAUUGGAGGGCAAGUCUGGUGCCAGCAGCCGCGGUAAUUCCAGCUCCAAUAGCGUAUAUUAAAGUUGUUGCAGUUAAAAAGCUCGUAGUUGAAUUUCGGGAUCAAUAUUUCGGUCAUGCCGUUGGUAUGCACUGUUAUCAUUGAUUUCUCACCUUCUAAAGAACCGUAAUGCCAUUAAUUUGGUGUUACGGGGAAUUAGGACUGUUACCUUGAAAAAAUUAGAGUGUUUAAAGCAGGCUCACGCUUGAAUACAUUAGCAUGGAAUAAUGAAAUAGGACAUCCGAUUCUAUUUUGUUGGUUUCUAGGAUCGAUGUAAUGAUUAAUAGGGAUAGUUGGGGGCAUUAGUAUUCAAUUGUCAGAGGUGAAAUUCUUGGAUUUAUUGGAGACUAACUACUGCGAAAGCAUUUGCCAAGGAUGUUUUCAUUAAUCAAGAACGAAAGUUAGGGGAUCGAAGACGAUCAGAUACCGUCGUAGUCUUAACCAUAAACUAUGCCGACUAGGGAUCGGAUGAUGUUAAUUUUUUAAUGACUCAUUCGGCGCCUUACGGGAAACCAAAGUGU